AUCGCUUCUCGGCUCUCAGGAGCUAAGAACAAAUUGUAGUAUCUGUUCUUAUCAGCUUAAUAUCUGAUACGGUGUCCAUGUGGCCCCAAAGAUAUUAAAUGAACUUUUGAAAAGUAGAUGCGGUCGUAACAGAUGCAGUUCGCCCACCGCGGGUCGGCCUGGUACUGCACUACCUCCGGGAUCGGCCCAAACGAU
rnacentral:snRNA from 1 species